CAGCAACCAGCGACCUUUUUCACCAAACAAGGCAUGACUAUGAAGCGAAACAUCGGGUCCAGCUUCAAAAUCCCUCCCGCCACCCUGCAAAGCACGAUUACGUUGUCGAUAAUCCUUCUUAUGCCGUUGUACGACAAGAUCUUGAUCCCUAUCACCAAAAGAAUCAAGAACAACGGUAAAGGUAUCUCCGUGAUGGAGAGGAUGGGAGUUGGAAUGUUCCUAUCGAUCAUUGCCAUUGUUAUUGCGGCAAUAGUCGAAAGGAAAAGACUAGACAUAAGCCAAAAGGUGAAGGCUUUACCUGAUUAUGAUCCAGAAACCGUCCCACUGAGCAUCUUCUGGCUGCUACCUCAAUAUAUCCUCUUGGGAAUCUCGGAUAUUUUCACAGUCGUUGGGAUGCAAGAGUUCUUCUACAGCGAGGUUCCGGUUAGAAUGAGAACAAUGGGAUUCGCUCUCUACACUAGUGUCUUUGGUGUU
rnacentral:lncRNA from 1 species